rnacentral:pre_miRNA from 1 species
UAUAAGGGAUUUUGAGUUUUUGUUUUCAACGUUUGACCACUCGUCUUGAUUAAAAAAUUUUAAAAUUAUUAUUUAUUUAAUUGUGACCUACUUUAUUAUCUACAGUACUUUAAGCAUAAUUUUUCGUUUUUUACAUUUGAAAAAAAAAUUUGAAUAAGACGAGCGGUCAAACGUUGUAAGCAAAAACUCAAAAUCCCUUAUA